rnacentral:rRNA from 1 species
UACAGAGGUCUCAAGCGUUGUUCGGAUUCAUUGGGCGUAAAGGGUGCGUAGGCGGCGCGGUAAGUCGGGGUGUGAAAUUUCGAGGCUUAACUUCGAAACUGCAUUCGAUACUGCCGUGCUUGAGGACUGGAGAGGAGACUGGAAUUUACGGUGUAGCGGUGAAAUGCGUAGAUAUCGUAAGGAAGACCAGUGGCGAAGGCGGGUCUCUGGACAGUUCCUG